UUGGUUUAGGAGGAGUACACACACACAUACAUUUAACUGAAUAUAAUGGAGAAGGCUUGCUCCUUAGAAAUAACAUUUCUUAUUGCUGCAGUUAGAAAAACAAUGCCCCUUUAUUAUAUAUAUUUUUUCUUGACCCUACAGGAUGCCCAGUGGUAACCAGCCUACCAUGUCGCUCAACAGAUGCCAGUGUACCCGAAUACUGAGACACAAUUGGAUGUUCUUUUCUUCUGCUUUUAAGAUUCCCAGUUUGGGAUGAUGUGCAGUUCAUGUUGGAUUUGCUAUUUCUACUGUUACAGUGAAGUAGAAGAGUCCGGUCGUGUUAUGGGGCAGCAGUUGAAGAAGAAGGAUGGAGAGAUGUGUGCCAUGUUGAAGUAUCGGCUGGUCCUCCUGCCCGCUCUUCUAGAAUCCUCCAUCUAAACCUCUGCUCUGAUCUGCUGUGCCUUUGCCAAGUGAUCACGAGAUCAACCAUAAAAACCAGCAGCUUUCUGUACUCGUGCAACAAAAUCUGGAAUGCUUUGCCAGUAGAGAAGUGCCAGGCUACAAAUGUCAAGCAUUUCGAAAAACUUCAACAAGCCCACUUUUCUAAUUUGGCUUUUUCUUAAUUACUUGCAUUGUUUAUUGCAGUGGUGCCCCCCUGCGUCUCCACCGUCUGUUACAUCAACUUCAACUGCCUGUGACAGAAGAAAAGUUCACAAGAAAUGGAAGUGGAAUUGUGAGUGGAGUGAGACGGCCACAUUCAUGUAUGCUGGGAUGUGCAGAGGGGGCUGUUUGGGCUUUGGCUUGGGACCCCCAGAGGUUUAUUAUCUCCAGUGUCCUUGAAGGCUGCAAGUUUGUCUUUGUCCCCAGCCAUUUGACCAGGCAGUGUAUUUAUUACAAAGGACAAGGACCCCUCCAUUUGCUUCUUAUUUACUUUUAUAAUAUCUUCAGUUUUCUUUGUAACUGUAUAUCUUUGUGGAGCAAUUUGAGCAACACUUGUAAGCAAAGGUGAUAUAAAAAUAUUAUCAGUGAACAAAUAUUAAAGGACAGAUAAGGAAAAAUGUCAGUUUAAAUAGAACAGAUUUUUUAUGGAAUAUUGCUGGAUAACAAUUCUUUGACUCUGAGUAGCAUCUUGUUCAUAAAGCUAAAAUAGCAUUUUUC